rnacentral:rRNA from 1 species
GACGUAGGGUCCGAGCGUUGUCCGGAGUUACUGGGCGUAAAGCGCGCGCAGGCGGUUUCGUACGUCGGGUGUGAAAGCCCCCCGCUCAACGGGGGAGGGUCAUUCGAAACGGCGGAACUGGAGGCAGGGAGAGGUCGGUGGAAUUCCCGGUGUAGUGGUGAAAUGCGUAGAUAUCGGGAGGAACACCAGUGGCGAAGGCGGCCGACUGGACCUGUACUGACGCUGAGGCGCGAAGGCGUGGGGAG